UGGGGAAUCUUCCGCAAUGGACGAAAGUCUGACGGAGCAACGCCGCGUGUAUGAUGAAGGUCUUCGGAUUGUAAAGUACUGUCAUUGGGGAAGAACGGUUUUCUUGAAAAGAUUGAGAAGACAUGACGGUACCCAAGGAGGAAGCCCCGGCUAACUACGUGCCAGCAGCCGCGGUAAUACGUAGGGGGCAAGCGUUGUCCGGGAAUUAUUGGGCGUAAAGGGCGCGUAGGCGGGCCUUUAAGUCCGGUGUGAAAGAUCAGGGCUCAACCCUGAGAGUGCAUCGGAAACUGGAGGCCUUGAGGACAGGAGAGGAAAGUGGAAUUCCACGUGUAGCGGUGAAAUGCGUAGAUAUGUGGAGGAACACCAGUGGCGAAGGCGACUUUCUGGACUGUAACUGACGCUGAGGCGCGAAAGCGUGGGGAGCAAACAGGAUUAGA
rnacentral:rRNA from 1 species